GCGUAAGCGUGUGCGUUGAUCUACUGUAAACUUUAGUUAUCAUCAUAUUGUUUCUUUCCUUUACAUUACAAUAUUAUGUACUAUUCUAUAAUUAUAUACUUUCAUAUGAAAAUAAAGUUCUUUUAUUUAACAAAGAGUAUACAUGUAUCUAUGUGAUGUUCAAGUAAAGCUGAUUGUGUGGGGUAUUUUAAUUUCAUCUUACUUUUGAAUUCUUUUAAUCGUUAUACACAAUGGCGAUCGAAAGCUUAAAACAGAAGAACUUCUGCAAGAUUAAAUCAAAUGACGAAUUUGUCUUCUUACAAGAACCAGGAAUCGUGUAGAUGUAUAGCCUUACUGCACAACAAUGAAAUAAUCUUACACAAGCUUCCUAAAUGGUAUAUCUUGCAAACUUUUAUGUUUAAAAUACUGAGGGCAAAUUUAUUAUAUUUAUUGAAUCCACACCGCCAAUUACGAAACAGAAUAAUUUAAAUGACGUAAUAAUAAACAAGAUCCUUAAUGAAAUACCUAAAGUAAAACAUAAAUUACUGAUAAGGACAAUAAUACCACAUACGCAAAAGAUAUCAGAAACAAACGAUGCAGCAAUACUUGCAAGUAAUCUAAAUUUUCUGGCUAAAACUAAUAUUAUGACUGACAGAGACUUUAAAAGUAUAAUUAAGAACAGUAUUAGCAACAUUUGGAAUACACAAUGAAUAAACAACAAAAAGACUGUCCUGCAAAAUGUAAGGAAAAACACCCACGAACGCAGCCCAGUCACUCAAUUUAAUAGGAAAGACCAAAUCUUAAUAACAAGGCUUUGAAUAGGACAUACAUUGCUCACGCACCAACACCAAAUCAUAAAAACUACAAGACUAGGAUGUGAACAGUGUAGGAACCCAAUUAUUGUGAAUCACAUAUUAAUAGAUUGCCCAAAAUUCCACAACAAAAGGGAAAAUGCUAAUCUCGACAAGAAGAAAAUUCGCAAAAUGUCGUUCCUUUUCACAGUGCAAAAACGUAAUCAAAAUUGAUUCCAUUAACAUAAGGCACUUAAUGUAAUAUAGCAUUAAUUGUGCAAUGUAACUAUUAACUAUGUAUUUUUUGGAUUUACAUAUGCAUUUAUAGCAUGUAAUAGUCGCUAACACCCAGGCGGAGGACUUAAAAUAAUAAAAUAAAAAGAAAAUAUAUAUGCUUU